rnacentral:rRNA from 1 species
UACGAAGGGGGCUAGCGUUGCUCGGAAUCACUGGGCGUAAAGCGCACGUAGGCGGAUCUUUAAGUCAGGGGUGAAAUCCUGGAGCUCAACCUCGGAACUGCCUUUGAUACUGCAAAUCUCGAGUCCGGAAGAGGUGAGUGGAAUUCCUAGUGUAGAGGUGAAAUUCGUAGAUAUUAGGAAGAACACCAGUGGCGAAGGCGGCUCACUGGUCCGGUACUGACGCUGAGGUGCGAAAGCGUGGGGAGCAAACAGG